UAGGAACCGGGAGAGGUGAGGGGUACUUCGGGGGUAGGAGUGAAAUCCUGUAAUCCUCGAGGGACCACCUGUGGCGAAGGCGCCUCACCAGAACGGCUUCGACAGUGAGGGACGAAAGCUGGGGGAGCAAACCGGAUUAGAUACCCGGGUAGUCCCAGCCGUAAACGAUG
rnacentral:rRNA from 1 species